GACGAACGCUGGCGGCGUGCUUAACACAUGCCAGUCGAACGGAAAGGCCCUGCUUUUGUGGGGUGCUCGAGUGGCGAACGGGUGAGUAACACGUGAGUAACCUGCCCUUGACUUUGGGAUAACUUCAGGAAACUGGGGCUAAUACCGGAUAGGAGCUCCUGCUGCAUGGUGGGGGUUGGAAAGUUUCGGCGGUUGGGGAUGGACUCGCGGCUUAUCAGCUUGUUGGUGGGGUAGUGGCUUACCAAGGCUUUGACGGGUAGCCGGCCUGAGAGGGUGACCGGCCACAUUGGGACUGAGAUACGGCCCAGACUCCUACGGGAGGCAGCAGUGGGGAAUAUUGCACAAUGGGCGGAAGCCUCAUGCAGCAACGCCGCGUGCGGGAUGACGGCCUUCGGGUUGUAAACCGCUUUCGCCUGUGACGAAGCGUGAGUGACGGUAAUGGGUAAAGAAGCACCGGCUAACUACGUG
rnacentral:rRNA from 1 species